AUACACGUCACGGUGACGCAACUUAACCUCUUAUCUGCCGGUUGUUCUUGUUUUUUUAGUGGCUGUAUUUCAGCGUCUUUUAUUUAUUACAGGGUGACACGUGGUCACUCUGAAGGUUUGACGUCUUGGGUUUGAUAUUUGUUUUGAUUUGAUGAAACAAACAAAACUGAGGUCAUUGUAAUCGACCCUAAACACCUCAGAGAAAGACUUUCUGAGCAUGUGGCGGCUGGUCACUGGAGGGAACUGAUUCGCCGCCCCACCUGCUGGAAAGUGUUUUUAUUUUUUUCCUUUUUAAAACAAAAUGGGGUUUUUUCAACAGUAACCGCUUAUUUCAACUUCCGUUUGAGAGACAAACUUUGGCGGAGAAACUACAGGUGAAAGAGUUGAGUCCAGAUCAACCUGAGCCCUCAAUUAGACAGCAGGCGAGUGGCGCUCCGCCGUUUACUCCAGCUGUCCUCCACCGUGAGCAUGACCCUGCGCAGGAACAUCAAGCAUCUCCUCCGUCCUCUACAACCAGACCAAGGAGCUGGACCUCCGUGCAAGCCGGCGUGCUGACGUACCCCCGGCAUCAUAACUCUUCAUCCACUACCUCUCGGGGCUGCCCCCGACUGCAUCACCUUCUUCGUCCUGUUGAUAUACACCAUCAUGUUAAUAUUCUCACCUUCAGCAAUCUUUCCGGGGUCCCUCCCGCGCAUCGCUCUCCAAACCGAGCGGAAUUCGAUACCACUUUGAAUAUGACACGAUUACACCUGAGGCCGCGAACGAGCCCACUACGCCACCUGACGCUCUUACUUUGGGAAACGUUUGUUGUACUUCAACCCGCACUUUGAAUGUGGACUUAGAAUAUUUUCUGAAAAUGUUUUAGCUUGCGGCUGCGCACCAUUAGUCGUCUAGACAGAGAAGUACAGAGUUCUCUCAGAUGCAUUAGAUUUGCGACUCGUGCAAGAAUCAAACUCCAUGCGCAGAAUUCGCAUGCAGCCAUUUAACCAGGUGAGCUACUCUGCCUGAUGGUGUGAACUGCCCACAAAGACUUUAUGAUUGUGUCCAUUGAUCUGGGGACUUAAAGUUUUUCUUUCGCCUGCAUGAUUAGAACUUGCGCCUCAGAGUUGAACUUAUACACACGAACCAGAUGUUUAACCAAGUGAGCUACUUGGACAAGUAGUUCUUAAGAUGUACUCUGACUUUCUAAUUGUUUGACUUGUUCAUGGGCCUGAGUUUCCUGUGUAAGACGCUGGUGAAGUGGUAAGAUUUUAGGCUCACAUGUGAAAGGUUGACAGACCAAGACCCACAAUUUUUGUGAUUUGGUUGAAACAAAACAUAUAUUUUAACUUAUUUCUGAGUAAUUAUGUUGAACAAAAACUUUGUGGCAGUGUUUUCAUUUAAAUAAAUCCUACAAAACACAAACAAGUUGACUGAAAACUUUAGCAGUUUGUCUUCUCGAAAGCCAACAGCAGGUUAAAUGCGAAAAAAACUGGGCUCAGGAAACUUCCUGAGUAAGACGCUGGUGAAGUGGUCAGAUUUUAGGCUCACAUGCAAAACAUUGACAGAUCAAGACCCACCAUUUUUGUGAUUUGGUUGUAAAAAAACAUGCAUUUAAACCUUUUUCUGAAUGAAGAUGUUGAACAGAAACUUUGUGGCAGUGUUUUCAUUUACAUAAAUCCUACAAAACACAAACAAGUUGACUGAAAACUAACCUUGACCCUACUUUGAUGAGAACAAAUUGGACCAAACAUAUUCAAUUGUGGUGUAGAGGCAAUGAUACAGGUAUGGACAUAUUAAGGUCCAUGGUUUGAUUCCCACCUUUAAUAUUUUUACAAUUUGUCCUCUAAAAUGUCUGCUGCUGCCUCAUUGAUGAGAAAAAACUAGAACAAAUGUAUUCAUUCCAUGGCGUAGAGGCAAUGAAACAGGUAUGGACAUAUAAAGUUCCAUAGUUCAAUUCCCAUGUUUAACAAUUUUACAAUUUGUCCUCUUGAAUCUGAUGUUCAUGAGAACAAACUGGACAAAAAUAAGUGUGAAAGAUGGCUGUUGAGCAAUAAGACACGAGGCUCUGAUGCGAGAGACCCAGGGUUCAAGACUUAGAGUGGACUCAAACAUGAAUGAAUGAAUGAGAUCCCGUAAUUGAAACACAGACCUGGAAUUUCCUCAAGUGUAGUGGAUAGAGGAAGGCAGGAGAAAAUGUCUGCGGGCAAUGUGAAGAGAUAUUCACUUGUGAAAUUAAGUACAAGACUCGGAGGAACAUUAGAUACACUGGUUGGCGUGGUGAGAGUGACGGUGCGCUGUGAAAUGAGGGGUUAAAAAAAAUGUAUUGAAUAAUAAAAACGAAAAAAUACUAUUUAAAUACAUUUUUAUAAAAAAUAUUUAAAAGAUUAAAAACGUCAGUUAAAAAAAUGCACCCCCCCCCCCCCCCCCCACCCCCUGUCAACCUUUCACUUUCAACCCAGUGCCUUUGCCACUGCACCACCAGGCUACACAUGUAAAAUUGACUUGACCCAAUUAAAAAAAGAAUUUGAAAAAUACACCUAUAAGUACAUUACAAGACAUGGACAGACACUAAUCUGCAUAUGCUUAAAGGCACAAAUUAAAUAAAAGUAUGUCAUAUUACAAGCCAUUACUUUCUCAGGUACAUUUUUUCAAUUUUUUAAAAUUCUCUGUAACGUUCAGGCAUUUUAGGUUUAGUAUCAUUCCGCUCAAAUUAUGGUAAAGAUAUUGAAAAUGAAAAGGAGAAUUGUAUAACGGAUCGUCUGAACACGAGAAUUUAAAAUCAGAGGUGGAGGGAUGGAGGGGACUCGCUGGUAAAGAUGGAUGAACUGUGGUUGAGGGUUGACGGGGUCCAGGGGUCCGUAGAUCAUGUGCACUGCAAGACAAGACGGAGGAGAGAGGGUCACAGUGGAGGAGUGAUACAUGAAGGGAAAUAUGUGAUAUACCAAUCGGAUUCAUCAUUUCAUCAAUUUAAAUGUUUCCUGAUUUCCUUUUCUUUGUAGCCACGUGAGCGGCUGUGUGAGGCUGUACUAUACACUAUACUAUAUUAUGAUGUUUUCUUCUCAUUUUAUGCCAUACUAUAUACAAUGUUGUUUUUUAUCAUUUUAUGUCAUACUAUACUAUGUCUUUUUUGCAGUUUUAUGCCUUAACUAUACAUAUGCCGUUUUUUUACAUUUUAUACCUUACUAUACUGUCUUUUUUAAUGUUUUUAUGUCAUAAUACUAUGCUGUUUUUUUCUCAUUUUGUGCCAUACUAUACUAUGCCGUUUUAUGCCUUACUAUACUAUGCCAUUUUUUUCACAUUUCACAUAUACUAUGUCGUUUUUUGCAGUUUUUAUGCCUUACUAAACAAACAAAAGUGAACAAAAUAAAUGAUUUGCUGGGUGGCUGCUGGGCAUAAUCAACAUCAAUUAAGACUGUUUUCGACAUCAAUGCAGCAGACAAGUGUAUCCAUUAAUCAGUACAUUUACUGUGUUACUGUACAGUUUCAUGUAUCUGUACUUUUCUUAAGGAGAUUUGUUUUCUACUCUACUACAUUUUUAUCAUUCAUUGCAUUACAUGUUUAUUUUUUACUGUAUAAUUCUGCCAAAUAACUCAAAGGACAGCUGGAUUAGUCCACUGAUCCAAUGCCAGCAGACAGGUAACAUAUUCACUCAUAACAGUCUCAGUGUUGCUGCUGGCCUUGUGUUACUUUGAAUACUUUAAGUAUAUUUAAAGGCAAAUACUGACUUUGUGUAAGUGGUUCUUUUAUUUGAGUAAAUCUCUGUCUGUU